rnacentral:rRNA from 1 species
UACGGGGGGGGCAAGCGUUGUUCGGAAUUACUGGGCGUAAAGGGCUCGUAGGUGGCCAACUCAGUCGGACGUGAAAUCCCUCGGCUUAACCGGGGAACUGCGUCCGAUACUGGAUGGCUUGAGAUCGGGAGAGGGAUGCGGAAUUCCAGGUGUAGCGGUGAAAUGCGUAGAUAUCUGGAGGAACACCGGUGGCGAAGGCGGCAUCCUGGACCGACACUGACGCUGAUGCGCGAAAGCCAGGGGAGCAAACGGG